GAUGAACGCUGGCGGCGUGCCUAAUACAUGCAAGUCGAGCGGUAAGGCCUCUUCGGAGGUACACGAGCGGCGGACGGCUGAGUAACGCGUAGGAACAUACCCCAAAGUGAGGGAUAACUGCUCGAAAGAGUAGCUAAUACCGCAUGUGAUCUAAGGAUUAAAGCUUCGGCGCUUUGGGAAUGGCCUGCGUAUGAUUAGUUUGUUGGUGAGGUAAUGGCUCACCAAGACUACGAUCAUUAGCUGGUCUGAGAGGACGAUCAGCCACACUGGGACUGAGACACGGCCCAGACUCCUACGGGAGGCAGCAGUGGGGAAUCUUGCGCAAUGCGCGAAAGCGUGACGCAGCAACGCCGCGUGGGGAAGAC
rnacentral:rRNA from 1 species